ACGGGCUCCUCAAUGCGUACGGUAGCGCCGCCGCCGCGCGCCCGUUCCUCUCUGGCGGCGCCGCCGCCCUGCUCUCGUUCCCCUCCCUAUCCAUCUCAAUCUUCUCCCGCACCACCACGAUCUUCAACCUCCUGCUGCCGUUUGUUUCCGAUUUGGAUCGGAGUCCGUGUUCCCCCAGGAUAAGUGCUGCAACACGAAUCCAUGGCGUGCCCGACCCAGAUUUCAGAGAGACUUGGCUGCCAUUAGAAGGAGCCCUCGACCGGAAUCUCCAUUAAAUCGCUUCAUAUCGCAACUUUUGAAGAGUCGUCCAGGAUCGUCUCAGCCGAGUUCGCCGGAAGAAAAUCCGCCGCCCAAGCGUACUACAUCUGAGCCGGAAGAACAUCCCCUGCCGGACAUGCUACCCCAGAGAUCACAUCUUCCUUUGCUAGAACACGUGAGCUGAUUCCGACUUUGGCCUCAAGUUGCUCCCGUCAAUGACAAGUGGGAGGAGUGGGAGUGCUGUGUUCAUGAAAUUGAGUAUCUCAGAAGAAUUUGGUUUGGCACUUAUUUUCCUCAACCUGUUAUUCUUCAAAUGUGCUUCCCAUGGAUUUGAUAAAUUUGGUGAGAUAAUGUUAUGUGUCAGGUAUGGCCAUAAGAUACUCAUGAAACUUAUUUUAUUUUGCCUCACACAAGAUGUAUGUUGUUUAGACUCAUGUACUGCCAGUACUGGUAGAUCGAUGAUCUAAGGAUCAUAUGAAUGAUUAAUGGAGGAUAAUUCAUAUUCAGUUCU